UUAUGCAUCCUGUAAGACAUAAAUGCUAAGACUAAUUAAUGAAAUGAACAAGGUUGCCUUCAAAGAUUUAUUUAUUUAUGCAGCAGAAUUUAAUUACCAAAACUCUGUUUAGUUUUUUGUAUAUUUGACUAUUCGCGAGUAUAGUUAACACAGGAACAAAAGAAUCAUACAAGUUACAAAGACAAGUUUUAUCUAUGUACAACUGAGUGAAAUUCUUAGAUUUCAACAGUCCUCAUCGUCAGGUCAUCAUCAUCAUCAUCAUCUUUGUCCCAAUCCAAUGAGAAAGCGGUGGCGGAUUUCAUCAACUCUGUUAGUCCAGUGAGAUCCUCCAGGGAGUAAAUUUGGUAAGGAAAAGCAUGGUAGUUGGUAGAGAAUCAAGAAAAGGGGAAGAACCAAUGAUGGGUAAUGGAGAAUCAUCAACGCCGAGCUUGUUGAGCUUCAAGGAAGAGAAUCUGUGCCAGAAGCCUUCAUCGACGGAACUUUGCAUCGGAGCGAAUUGAAGCAAAGCUCCUUCCUUUUUCGACAUGGAUCUGUUCAAUUGUGGUUUGACUUUUGCUUCUUUCUAAACGGAAUGCGAAGAUGAAGAUGAUCUGGGUUGUGGUUGAGUUCGCAUUCUUCAUGGGGUUCUUCAGUCAACAACCUUUGUGUUCAUCAAAGGAGCUUGUUCAUUCAGUGUUUUUUUCGGUUUGGAUUCUUCUUCUUCAACUAUCAAACGGGCCGAAUUGGAUCUGCUUGAUAUGGCCUUUAGUGCUUUUCUGGCCCGAUUUAAUAACUUGACCCAUAAUACAGUUCGGCCGGAAUUAAAAACAUUUUUUUUAAACAAAAAAAAAAUUUAACCUAACCUACAUUGUAUGCAGCAGCUCGUUGUCCCUUAAAUGGAG